CCUUCUUCUUUGGUAUUAAGUUUUAAAAUAAUUGAAAUUAAUCAGAAAUGAUAAUAUGAAUGUUCUUUAAAUUAGAGCAAAUCGUUUGCCAAUUGAAGUUUUCCAAUAGAAUGUUUUUAAAAUGAAUUUAAUCAAAAGGUUAUCAUAAUAUACUGUAAACUUUUAAGACUUUGGAGUGAAUAUAUACAACCUUCUGACUUGUACUUGCUUCUGCCCCACAUUGAGAUUUGACUGUGCUACCUUGAAUUCUGCCGAAAAUGUGUCUGUUGCAGUAAUUUUUGGCUCAUUUGUCUGCUGCCAGGCUGCUUUGACUACUGGCUAAUUUCCUGCCCGACUAUCUUGUGGUGACUUGACUUCUGCCAGACAAUUGUGAAGCGACUUGAACCUCUUGCCAGACAAUUGUGAAGCGACUUGAACCUCUUGCCAGACAGUUGUGGAGCGACUUGAACCUCUUGCCAGACAAUUGUGAAGCGACUUGAAGCUCUUGCCAGACAAUUGUAAAGCGACUUGAACCUCUUGCCAGACAAUUGUAAAGCGACUUGAACCUCUUGCCAGACAAUUGUAAAGCGACUUGAACCUCUUGCCUGCCAAAAUGUGGACUGAACUCUGUCUUGCCUGCCAAAAUGUGGACUGGACUCUGUCUUGCCUGCCAAAAUGUGGACUAGACUCUGUCUUGCCUGCCAAAAUGUGGACUGAACUCUGUCUUGCCUGCCAAAAUGUGGACUGAACUCUGUCUUGCCUGCCAAAAUGUGGACUGAACUCUGUCUUGCCUGCCAAAAUGUGGACUGAACUCUGCCUUGCCUGCCAAAAUGUGGACUGAACUCUGCCUUGCCUGCCAAAAUGUGGACUAAACUCUGCGCAUAUCAACACAACAUCAGCCGCGACUGCGUUAGGAGGCAGUUAAGAAGCGAAAUCCCACCAGAACUAAGAUUAUCCGAAAAUGCAGUUACGACCCUAACAAGGGAGGCCGAAGAGUGGGUCUCUGACUUAAAUUACUUGUCAGGGUUGGCGAUGAGGCACCGGAAAGGCGGACGAUUAAUAAAAAGAGAUUUUGAAACGGGGAAACAAAUGCUUGGAUUAGGCAGAGCUGCUGGCCAUUAAGGAAGCAUGUAAAUGGGCUAGCAAAUUCGAUCAUAAAGCUAAUAUAUGGAGUGAUAGCGAGUCCAGCUUAAAAGAGAUCAGCUCAUUUUUCACCUCAAACCCAAUUGUUCAGGAAAUUCAAGCCAUUCUGCUCCCCCAACCUUCUAUUAAGUUAGGAUGGGUUAAAGCACAUGUGGGCCACAACGGAAACGAGGUUGCAGAUUCCCUAGCCAAAAGCCCAUUUCUACAGGUACGCCCGUUCAAUACCCAACUCCUAAAAGCCAUCUGAAAAGUAUUCUAGAUGAAUUGAGCCUACAGUGAUGGCAAGAAGAAUGCGACAAUGUCUCAACUGGCAGAAACAUCCAUCAAAUCAUCUCGAAAGUGUCCUUUGAUCCACCAUCUUGGAGUAGGCUUGACAUUAUCUUUGCAACUGGCCAAGGCCCUUUCCCUUCAUAUUUCAAGAGAUUCAAUUUUAAAGGAUCGAAUCAAUGUGGCUGCGGCGAAGAAGGCGAUCCUCUUCAUUAUGCCACUAGCUGAUAUCUGGUGGAUCAACGUUAAGAGAAACAAGAUGUCCAAGGUUAAAAUUAGAAAUCUUGCGCGGUUCCUACAAGAGAACGAGGAAUUGGUUUCUCCAGACCCCCAAGCCCAGUAUAAAUUUUCGUUUCAUUUCUCAACCAAGCUCUUCUCCAGAAUAUAUUAACUUCAAUAGAUUUCAUCUAUUCAUACUCCCCACCGAACACCUCCUUCAUCAUUAUAAUAUUGUAUAUAGUUACUUUUUAAGUGUAUUAAUGAUAUUUUAUGUCUUUUAUGUGUAGAUUGAUAUGUGUAUACUUUUUUUAUCUUAAUAAAUACUCCCACGUAUAUCCUUUCAACCGACAGGGAAUCCUAGAGAUUCCAAGUUCGGGGAUAUUCUGUGGCGAAAGGAAGUAAAGUACAUUAUUCCGUGUAUAAGACUAUUCUCAAAGUUUCUGAAAAAUUUCAAUGCGCAUCUAGCUUUAGAAUAUGUUAAUGUUUAGAUAAAAUAAAAGUGCUUUUCCUCUAAAUUAAGUUUUUUUUAAAAUCAAAAUAACGGCUUUCGACUGAAAUAUUUCGGAAUGAAUACUUAACAAAUUUUAGCAUAAGUACUUUUCUUAUUGCAACCUUUACAUAAAAUAAAAAACGCAGGA